rnacentral:rRNA from 1 species
AUUGAACGCUGGCGGCAGGCCUAACACAUGCAAGUCGAGCGAGCGGCGGACGGGUGAGUAAUGUAUGGGGACUGCCCGAUAGAGGGGGAUAACUACUGGAAACGGUAGCUAAUACCGCAUACUAUCGGAUAACCCAUAUGGGAUUAGCUAGUAGGUGAGGUAAUGGCUCACCUAGGCGACGAUCCCUAGCUGGUCUGAGAGGAUGAUCAGCCACACUGAGACUGAGACACGGCCCAGACUCCUUCGGAGGCAGCAGUGGGGAAUAUUGCACAAGGGGCGCGAUCCUGAUGCAGCCAGGCCGCGUGUAUGAAGAAGGCCCGAGGGUUGUAAAGUACUUUCAGUCGGGAGGCGUGACCGACAGAAGAAGCACCGGCUAACUCCAUGCCAGCAGCCGCGGUAAUAC